CUAGAGCAAAGGAUAGACAGCGCCCGGGAGCUUGCUUCCUGGGGCUACCCUACUUGUAGGGUUUAGAGUCGUCGAGCCUCUCGGAGAAGCUCGGUCCUGAACUCCACCCUUGAAUAAAUUACCUUUGUUGCUUUGGCGGGCCGCCUUGCGCCAGCGGCUUCGGCUGUUGAGUGCCCGCCAGAGGACCCCAACUCUUGUUUUUAGUGAAGUCUGAGUACUAUAUAAUAGUUA
rnacentral:misc_RNA from 1 species